GAGUGUGGUGUAGUGGUUUGAGUGUCAGACUGCAACUCUGGAGACCCGGGUUCGACUCCCUGCUCGGCCA